CUCCUGCUUCUCCCUCCUGAGCGGUGCAUGGACUCUUGAUGCCAGGUUGAGGGACACUCCGGUUGGUAGGGUGAGCAUGCCCAUUCUCCAUUUGGAACAGGGAUUCCCGGUGAGUAUUUCUGAAUUCAUCGAUGUAUACUUCUCUUUUCUCACGUUCUUCUCAUGGAUUCUUCAAUUUUAUUUCCAUGUGAAUAUAUGGUUGCAAACAACCUUGACAGCAGUGCUAGAUUGAUGUGUUGUAAUAAAAACUGUUAUACUACCAUUGUACGUUUAAUUCUACAAAUGGGAUCAUAUUUAAAAUAAAAUAUAACUGAAAUUGGAUAUGGCCAUCUCUUUCACUCUGUAUACCGUUGUUUGUCUGAUUGCCCCAGUUUUAACUAUCUGCACACCCAUUAGGAUCAAACGGCUCACACGAAUUAAAUCCGAGGAUGUAGAGUUUAUUAAAACACACUUCUUAAUAGCAUCCUCACUAUUUCAAUAGCCUUAAUUUCUUAUGUUAAAUGAUUAUAUUAGUGUCUUCUUCUUGGUAGCUAUCUAAACAACACUGCUCUUUUGCUUUCUACUUCAGUUAUGUAGUUAGCCCUUUAAUAACGGGUGUGCUCAAUAGUAGUUUUUUUCUGUUCUUGGUACAUGUAUCUUCGAUUCACAGAUUUGCAAUCACUGGUGGGGAAUAAACAUGUACUUUGCGCAUCAUGUCAUUUUUUCUCGAGGGAUACUCUUCAAGUUUUAAAUCUUCUCUACUGUCACUUAAGUGCUAUGACUGUUUGGUCAGCAAAAUGAAACAAGUGUUCAGUCAUGAUAUUCCAUUUUCAACGGAAAUAUGUAUGCGUUAUCCAGGCUGCAGGUCGAGGUAUCCAGACUCCACACAUCUGGUCCCUUCUGCUGAAGAACUAGAUAUGCUAUCUCUUUUGGAUUACAAUUAUCUUAUCUGUCGGUAGAAGAAAACUUUGGUUAUCUUAGCAGACAAAGCUUGCUUGGAAAGCAACAUUCAACAUACUUCUCACCAAUCAGUCCAAUAGUUCAUGCGACUGGUUAUUGGUAAAUUACAUUGGAUAAACUCCCUUUUAUUAAUGUUGACUCUGUGCUCCAGCUAUUAAGAGCUCUACAUACUGUCGUGGCAGAAGUUGUGUUGAUAAUAUUAGCCAAAUCAUGCUUGAAUAAAUUUAUAUCCAAUAUUGCUAAUCCUUUCUUCAUUUGCUACAGAGUAAUAUAUAGCCCUGGUUCAUGAAGUGUGCUCAUAUAGAGGACAUGAACAUACCUUUGUCAAAUAAGGUGAUAGAGCCUGAACUUUGACUACUCGAUAAUUUUUUUGCUGCUCUACUUUUCUCUCUACAGAGAAAGAACCAAGGUUUGGAUAGGUAAUUAGUCUCUUGAACCAACAUAUUUUGUUUUGAGAGUAAUAAGUAGGAGUAACAUCCAUGAACAUACCUCUGUCAAAUAAGGUGAUAGAGCCUGAACUUUUGACUACUCGAUCAUUUUUUGCUGCUCUAAUUUUCUCUCUUCGGAGAAAGAACCAAGGUUUGGACAGGUAAUUAGUCUCUUGAACCAACAUAUUUUUGUUUUGAGAGUAAUAAGUAGGAGUAACAUCACAAGGGUGACCUAAUUUUCUUAUUAGGUACAGCCUGAUAAAUAUGUGAUACUGAUUUAUUUUGUAGCCUGGCUCUAGCUUUGUAGUUUGCCUAACGUUGAUUGUUGUAAAAUUGAAUCAAGCAGUUGGGUGGCGUGUCCAAAAUUUCCUGUCUUCUCUUUCUUCGGUAAGACAAAAUUGUUGUCCAGGAGAUCUCCCCAUACAUGGGUUUGUGAGAAGGUAAUCAGUAGAGGAGCUGUCAGUUUGGUUCAUCUUGCAAGACAAUCACUCUUUCCGUUAUUCCUAUGGUUUUACAAGUUGGAGCGGCGCAUGACGAGGACAAGCUAGAAGAAACACCGGCCAAGGACUAGAGAAAAGAAGCAAUGGCACAAUAAGAGCUCCAUUGAGGAUGAAGUACGUUUCGCACCUCCAAUCCCUCUGCAGAGGACCUGACAACUACUCUGGAGCUGGCCCAAUGCAUAUCAAGUUUCUACCCCUCCAUCCUUCCCAGAUCGAUUCACCAGUCUCGGUGUUUGCAUCAUGGCGACUAGAUCGGCGGUGGCAAAUCGCCAUGGACUAUCUUGGACACUAGAAGGAUAUCAAGGCCAAGACUCGAUCCUCCAGUGACGGCACCACGAGCAAGGAAGGCGAAGAUGCAGAGCGCAAUCUGAGUUUCUCCUGGCUUUCCACGUUGAAGAGCUCCACUUGGAAACGACCAGCAAGUGCAGAAGGGAAGAAAAGAAAGACUAGGGGCUCGUUUGGUUGCAAGGGACCCAGGAACCAGGGAACUACUUCCCCCAACGCGAAUAUCCCUGCGCGCUCGGGAACCCCAGGUUUCCCCUCCCGCUCGGGAGAAUCAAAGUUUGCUAUUUGGACAACACACGCAGGGAACGGACGGGAACAGGAGGAAAGAUGCGAAAUUCGAAAAUAA